CGGGCGGGGCCCGUGGGGCGCUUGCGGGCCACCGGGGCCCGGGGCAGCUCGCCCUUUGCCCGCCGCGGGGCGGCCCCUCCCAGGGGCCUGGGCCACGAUGCUGUGUCACCCUUCCCAGCUGGGCUUGGCCGCAGCGACCUGCUCCCCCAGGCCGGCGGCAGGGCUACGCAGGGAUUCGGUGCCCACCCUGCUAAGGCUUGGCUCGGGGAUCGGGGCCCUAAAGGAUCAGGGUGCCUUCCAGGCGUGCAUUAAGCAACCUGACUAACAGCUGCCACCUGUACUUUGUUCCUAAGCUUUGAAAUUCAAGUCCUCUGUUCCCCAGGGCCUGGUAAAUAUUAUCUGCAUUGUACAGAUCACUUCUCCAAUUUGUCAAGCUAAUUUUGAAUUCUCAUCUUACCCUCCAAAGUGCUUGCAGCACUUCUCAGCUUGGCGUCAUCCGCAAAUGUUAUAAGCGCACAGAGCUUUGUUUCAGAAGAUGGAGUGUAUCUGCCUUUACGUUUGAGAAGUAUCACUUGGAUAUAAAAGCACCAGAGGAGUCCCUGCAAGGGAGAGUUUACAGUCACCACGAGGCCCUGCAGGAACUGAGACCCAUCGACUGAAGUAUACCUGCCUCUUAUCUUCACUGCAUUCUGACCCCAUCCUAUAUAUUAGCCCCCACCUCUGCUGCUUCCCAGAGCUCUCCCUGCACCUAUGUCUCUUCUCUGAGUUUUCCCUGCAACUCCUGUGCCAGAGCUCGAUAGGAGCAUUGAGUAAGACUGUCAUUCAUUCAGUGGAUCAUGAUGAUACCUGCUGAGUAACACAGAUGUAUCCAUCAUUGGUCAGAUCGGUUUCCACAACUGGAUUUCAGUGCAGAAUUGCAUCCCGAAGUAAAAGAGACAAGAGCAUCCAGACACCCUUCCCGAAGCUGCCCUCCGCAGCGAACUUUGCUUUCAAAUACACAAGCUCUCCAGCAAAAACAAACAUGAAGCCAAGAGGUGUUGAACACCCCCAUUCCCACCCACACUGAAAUCAAUAGAUGCAGGUGUUUGGCACCUGUCAGGAUGGGGCCCUUCAUUAAAUACAGCAGCUAUAAAAUGUCCCAAGAGCCCGACACACCUCCAUGGCAAGCUCAACAGGACGUGCUCAUUUAGGUAACAGAGAAACUACAUUUAUGAAGUUUGCGGACGAUACCAAGCUGGGAGGGGUUGCAAGCGCGUUGGAGAACAGGAUUAGAAUUCAAAA